rnacentral:tRNA from 1 species
GGGCCGCUAGCUCAAUGGAUAGAGCUGCCGACUUUUAAUCGGCAGGUUCGGGGUUCGAGUCCCCGGCGGCCCA